ACUCGUCGCUCCUGGAAAAAAAAAACGGUGGCAAAAUGAUAUUAUAUAUUAUAAUUGUUCAUGUUACAUAAUAUCUCAUUUCCCAGAGUUCACACGUUUAACAGUCUGUUAAUAGAAUCAGCACAGCCAAGUGCCCUGUAUACCCCAUUAUCCUCUCUUUAAAGUGCCUCGCUGCCCAAUCACAACACAGGCAGAUAGGGGCUGUUCGAGACAGCAAUAGAAGAGGGUGAGCCCAUUACUUACGAACCCUGAAUUAUUAGGGUACAUUUACCUGUGACCAAAUUUCUGUCUCUCUGGUUUUGCCAACAUCUUAGUCUGGCUUGUAAUGGCUGCCAGAUACCAGUCCCAAGAUCUCAAGCUCAGCACGAGAGUCUGCAUUUGUGCAUUCAAGAGCUACACAUGUUACACCUUCACCCUUAUUUCGGCCGGACUGGGACACUUAAUAGGCCCUGGCAUUUCAUAUACACAGAGGCCAAAACAGCCCCCCCAUCCCAAUAAAAAGUGAUUGGCUAUGGCAUCUUACAGCAUUUACCUGCCCUCAUUUACCCAUUUAUCCCUUUCCCCAUCCUUACUUUACCUCAUAUCACCAUAACUUCUACCUUGCCUAUUUCCCUACCUUCCCUGACUCUCUUUCUCAUUCACACACCUUAUUACACCCUUUCCAUGUUCCCGCUCUCCCCCUAACUGCCUAUUCCAUUUCCCCACCCUCUCCCCCUAACUGCCUAUUCCAUUUCCCCACCCUCUCCACCUCUUUUCUGUUUCCAUUUCCCCACCACCCCCUCACUGCCUUUUCCUAUUCUAGUGAAAGAGACUCACCAUUUUCCCCAUGGUGUUAAUGUUGGCGAGGGACCGCGUGUAAUCUUCUCAAUCAGCCUUUGUUGUGGAAGUUUGCUGAAUGCUAGGAUGUAAAGAUACAACACAAAAAUAUGACGACCGAUGAAUACAACAUUUCGGAUUCUCGUAUCACAGAAACCACAUUACAGCUCUGCAUUCUCUGUUACGAGAGGGGUGGAAAAGGCCCUGAGAAAUCAAGAAAGCAAAAGUCAGUAUAUAAAUAUUUAUUAGAAAUAUGCAGAGUAGCACCAAGGAGUUCAACAUGUGAC